GUGGCAUUCAGGUGGCUGGUUGCUGUGAGGUGGCGUGCGCUUUGCCAUAGCGCUGUUAGUCCAAUAAUCAGUAACUUUGCUAACUGCACUUGCUGUCGGUAUACGCUGAGGCGGCCGAUUGCCCCUUCCGAAGCGCGUAGUGUGGCCCAUCGCGUAUGGUGUCCUGUUGCGUGUGGAGGUUGAUGUGGUGUUUGGUCGGCAGACGUGCUCCGUGCUUUUGCGCGCUGUGCCGUUUGCGGUGUUGUACGUAGUGUCGGAGGCUUGCCUCUUGGCGUUGCGUGCGAUAUCGUUGCGGUUCGGUGCCUUGGAGCGCUCUCGGUGUCGAAAAGUCGACCACCUAUCUGACCCGUCUUGAAACACGGACCAAGAAGUCUAGUAUAUGCGCGAGUCAUUGGGUGGAAAACUCAUAUGGCGUAAUGAAAGUAAAGGUCGGCGUUUGUCGGCUGAUAUGUGAUCCGUGAGCUUGCUCGCGGCGCAACAUAGCCCCAUGCUGAUUGCUUGCAAUAGUGUGGAGGUAGAGCGUAUAUACUGGGACCCGAAAGAUGGUGAACUAUACUUGAGCAGGACGAAGUCAGAGGAAACUCUGAUGGAGGUCCGUAGCGGUUCUGACGUGCAAAUCGAUCGUCGGACUUGAGUAUAGGGGCG
rnacentral:rRNA from 1 species